UACGAAGGGUGCAAGCGUUAAUCGGAAUUACUGGGCGUAAAGGGUGCGUAGGCGGUUGCCUAAGUCCGUUGUGAAAGCCCUGGGCUCAACCUGGGAAUUGCAGUGGAUACUGGGUGACUGGAGUACGGUAGAGGAUGGCGGAAUUCCCGGUGUAGCAGUGAAAUGCGUAGAGAUCGGGAGGAACAUCAGUGGCGAAGGCGGCCAUCUGGACCAGUACUGACGCUGAGGCACGAAAGCGUGGGGAGCAAAC
rnacentral:rRNA from 1 species